rnacentral:lncRNA from 1 species
UUUUACUUACCGAAAAAAAUGAAGUGGAGACUCCUUGGACGCUCUAUUAGUGCAAUUAAUGCCACAGCAAGUCAUUUUGUCCAACAAUUGCACAAAAAAUAUCCAAAAAAGAAUACACAAACACAGAGACUCAAAAUCCCGGAACAGUUUCCAGGCCAGACCGAGGCUCUACUGAGGCCUUUCCACGGAGCUAGCUCUGUGGUCACGUGGGUCUGAUGCUCAUUAAUUAUACAGAAUUUUAGGCUUUUAAUACACUUAAACAGAAGAGUGAGAAAAAAAUUCACCCCCCUCAGAGUUGUCAUGAGUGUAAACUAGAUCAUUUAAACCAAAAACAUGUUUUGCUACCAGGCUGUAAACAUGUUUAUUUCUGCUGUGAAAUUGGUAUUUUUAACAUGGGAGUCAAUGAGGAUUUGCUCCUUCUGACACCAGCCCCUAGUGGAUGAGGGUGGAACUGCAAUUUAUUUCACUUCCGGGUUGGCCUCAAUUUUUGAGCCGCAUUGUGGGGGCUUGGUUUGUAAACACGUGUAAGAAUGCGACAUUUAGCAUUUUUUUUGUCCUAAUCUGUGCCAACACUUCCUGUCAUCAGUAAUUCCAGACUUGAAAACAUUGCUCUGCUUUAUUUAUGACAUGCAGCUGGAUGAUGAGAGAGAACGAAAAAGUUUUACUUUUUUAAAUACAAAAUAGUGUUUUCCUAAUUUUCUGUUUGGUAGAAGAUACAAACAUCACUUUGGCUGCUCUGAGUUAAAGCAGGAGUUGGUCAAUCUGCCGCAGACGGACUUCGCAAGCAUACACGAUGACAUAAGAGGUGGCGAGGAUACCAAAGCAGAGGAACAUCUGAGACUGGAUCUACAGGCAAUUGACCAUGAAUAUGAAAAUGAGCCAAAGAGCAUUAAAGUCAGCAGUAAGAACUGGCUGGAGUUCCACACCACCCUCCUCAUUACCUACCACUCGGAAAUGAUGCAGGUGGAGCUGAACCAUUUCUGGGAAACAGUCUCCUUUCUAAGAGUCUACUAUUGGAGCAAGCCUAGACUUGAGCCACUUAAGGCCACUUCCAAAAGUAACUUCCUGCUAGAAACUUCUGAAAAGAGCAAUCAUCCUUGUGGGUACUCCCACGGAAGCCAUAAGGCCUCCAUAGCAGAUCCUGUCGAGCCAUCAUGUGAGGAGCUCUUCUCAGUCUAUAACAUGGUCGUAGAGGAGAUCAGUAGACUGGUGUUAGAAGAAAACCAGCAGAGGGAGACAAUCAACCAGAAGGAGAAAAAGACCAAUAAAAAGGAGUCAGCAAAUGCAAACCAGGCUAAAAAAGGAAAAAGGUCUGCCAUCAUGCAGACAGCCAGAAGAGAAGAGGACUCCAGGAUGAAACAUGAUGAAGAAGUGGUUGACAAAAUCCAUAAAAAAUAUGUAAAUGCACUGAGUCAGGAGGAGAAAGCAGCAAAGAUGCGCAUCAAGCUGGUGGCUGACCAUGGUGUGGUAAUGAUACGGUUUCUGCAACACAGACAACAGGAGACCCUCAGUAACGUAGAGAAGUUGUUUCAGCCCAGCCGUCCAUCACAAAGGUGUUAAAUCACACAGGUUUAAUACGGGAAACAGUCCAACCGUCCACAUGUAACAGCAGCGUUUUGGGUUAUUUAGCCUUUCAGAGGAGAAACAAAACGGGAAUUCAUUUUUCAAAGUCAUAUUUUUACCUUCUUAUUCAUACUUUUAUAAAUGUAGAAGUUAAAGUUUCUUUUAGACUUUUCUCUGAUGAAAGUAUAAAUAACCCAUAAUACUGCUGUGAAAUGAUGACUUUACAAAUGUCACCCCAUAGUUUAGUUAUGCAUAAUGUUCUAUCCAACGUUGUCUGUCUGUCUGUCUGUCUAUCUAUCUAUCUAUCUGUCUGUCUGUCUGUCAUAUAUCUAUCUAUCUGUCUGUCUGUCAUAUAUCUAUCUAUCUGUCUAUCUAUCUGUCUGUCUGUCAUAUAUCUAUCUAUCUGUCUAUCUAUCUGUCUGUCUGUCUGUCAUAUAUCUAUCUAUCUGUCUAUCUAUCUGUCUGUCUGUCUGUCAUAUAUCUAUCUAUCUGUCUGUCUAUCUGUCUGUCAUAUAUCUAUCUAUCUAUCUGUCUAUCUAUCUAGCUGUCUGUCUUAUAUCUAUCUGUCUAUCUGUCUAUCUAUCUAUCUAUCUAUCUGUCUGUCUGUCUGUCUAUCUGUCUAUCUAUCUAUCUGUCUGUCAUAUAUCUAUCUAUCUGUCUGUCUAUCUGUCUGUCAUAUAUCUAUCUAUCU